rnacentral:rRNA from 1 species
AUACAGAGGGUGCGAGCGUUGUUCGGAAUCACUGGGCGUAAAGCGCGCGCAGGCGGGACUUGCAAGUCGGGAGUGAAAGGCCGGGGCUCAACCCCGGAGCUGCUUUCGAGACUGCGGACCUGGAGACCAGUAGGGGUUGGUGGAAUUCCCGGUGUAGCGGUGGAAUGCGUAGAGAUCGGGAAGAACACCGGUGGCGAAGGCGGCCAACUGGGCUGGAUCUGACGCUGAGGCGCGAAAGCGUGGGGAGCAAACAGGAUUAGAUACCCUGGUAGUCCACGCCGUAAACGAUGGGCACUAGGUGCCGGGGGGAGCGACCCCGUCGGUGCCGUAGCUAACGCGUUAAGUGCCCCGCCUGGGGAGUACGGCCGCAAGGCUGAA